AACGAACGCUGGCGGCAUGCCUAACACAUGCAAGUCGAACGAGACCUUCGGGUCUAGUGGCGCACGGGUGCGUAACGCGUGGGAACCUGCCCUUAGGUUCGGAAUAACUCCCCGAAAGGGGUGCUAAUACCGGAUAAUGUCUUCGGACCAAAGAUUUAUCGCCUUUGGAUGGGCCCGCGUUGGAUUAGCUAGUUGGUAGGGUAAAAGCCUACCAAGGCGACGAUCCAUAGCUGGUCUGAGAGGAUGAUCAGCCACACUGGGACUGAGACACGGCCCAGACUCCUACGGAGGGCGGCAGUGGGGAAUAUUGGACAUGGGGCGAAAGCCUGAUCCAGCAAGGCCGCGUGAGUGAUGAAGGCCUUAGGGUUGUAAAGCUCUUUUACCCGGGAUGUUAAGGACAGUACCGGGAGAAUAAGCUCCGCUUACCUCCUU
rnacentral:rRNA from 1 species